AGUGGCUGCAAUCAUUCGAGGUGUUUAAAUAUUUUAAUAUAUACCUGGCAGAUGGAAAGUGUUAAGUUGUUAACCUCCAGAGGGUGUCGAUGUGAGAUAGGAGAGAGAGAGAGAGAGAGAACAAUUUAGACAAUCUAUCACAGCUGAGGAUGUGAGUGUUUUGCAAAAAGGAAACAGAACAAAUCAAACAUUGCAUUUCCUCAGCUCCUCAGUCAGUAUGCACUCCCCAGAAUGACAGACAGAAGGAAAAAAUUACAGGAGGAAAUCACAGCCCAGAAUGAAGAAUUGAAGCGAAAAUAAUGAAAGCGAGCACCCCAAGUUCUUCAGACACCUGAGAACCAAUCACAUCGUUGUUGACAAGCAGAAAUAUUUGUUAUCAAUGACUGGUCACUUGAAAGCAGACUAAUGAACUACUUGCUGCCAACUGAAUUU